AUCUUUAUUUUACCCUUGCAUUUACUUUUACUUUACUUUAUUUAUCUUGCUUUACCUUAGUUUAUCAAUAAUUCUUGGAGUAAAAUCAUAGUCCUCGCUACAAUAUACCUCCUUUCUUUUUUGAAUAAGUGGUGUUAUGGUAGUCAAAGUUCUCGAAACUCAAGGCAUCAGGAUCCAUACUAUUAACCUUUUACAUUCUCUUCUUUUUAGUUUUGACAUUAGUGACAUGCCUGUGCACUUGCACAAACCUGCCAAGAGUGUGCAUACCAUUCCUUCCCCCACUAGAAAAUCUAGCAACCUACACAUCUUUUCUAACUUGCUUGGUGGCUAUAUAGAUAGCUGUUGUGAAAGAACAUGAUGCUCAAAUGUCACGAAUACCAAAGAGUCCACUUCACAUCCUAAGGAACCUUAGAGUUCUCAAGCUAGGUUGGCACGACAAUCUCCUC
rnacentral:lncRNA from 1 species